CCAUUGCAUGCUGGCUAGGUGUUGUAGGCCCAUUGCAGGCAGGCUAGGUGUUGCAGGCAGGCUAGGUGUUGUUGCCCCAUUGCAGGCUGGCUUGGUGUUGUUGCCCCAUUGCAUGCUGGCUAGGUGUUGUUGCCCCAUUGCAUGCUGGCUAGGUGUUGUUGACUCAGUGCAUGCUGGCUAGGUGUUGUUGACUCAUUGCAUGCAGGCUAGGUGUUGCCCCAUUUCAGGCUGGCUAGGUGUUGUUGAUCCAUUGCAGGCUGGCUAGGUGUUGAUCCAUUGCAGGCUGGCUAGGUGUUGACCCAUGUCAGGCUGGCUAUGUGUUAUUCAGGCUGGCUAGGUGUUGGUGUUGUUCAGGCUGGCUAGGUGAUGACCCAUGGCUGGCUAGGUGUUAUUCAGGCUGGCUAGGUGAUGACCCAUGGCUGGCUAGGUGUUAUUCAGGCUGGCUAGGUGUUGUUGACCCAUUGCAGGCUGGCUAGGUGAUGUUGCCCCGCUGCAGGCCGGCUAGGUGUUGUUGCCCCGCUACAGGCCGGCUAGGUGUUGUUGACCCAUUGCAGGCUGGCUAGGUGUUGACCCACUACAGGCUGGCUAGGAGUUGACCCAUUGCAUGCUGGCUAGGUGUUGUUGGCCCAUUGCAUGCUGGCUAGGUGUUGUAGGCCCAUUGCAGGCAGGCUAGGUGUUGCAGGCAGGCUAGGUGUUGUUGCCCCAUUGCAGGCUGGCUUGGUGUUGUUGCCCCAUUGCAUGCUGGCUAGGUGUUGUUGACUCAUUGCAUGCUGGCUAGGUGUUGUUGACUCAUUGCAUGCUGGCUAGGUGUUGUUGACUCAUUGCAUGCAGGCUAGGUGUUGCCCCAUUGCAGGCUGGCUAGGUGUUGUUGAUCCAUUGCAGGCUGGCUAGGUGUUGACCCAUGUCAGGCUGGCUAUGUGUUAUUCAGGCUGGCUAUGUGUUAUUCAGGCUGGCUAGGUGUUGGUGUUAUUCAGG